GUAGGAGACGAGCGUUAUCCGGAUUUACUGGGCGUAAAGCGCGUGCAGGCGGCAUGGCAAGUUGGAUGUGAAAGCCCCCGGCUUAACUGGGAGAGGUCGUUCAAUACUGCCAGGCUUGAGAGUGGUAGAGGGAAGCGGAAUUCCGGGUGUAGUGGUGAAAUGCGUAGAUAUCCGGAGGAACACCAGUGGCGAAAGCGGCUUCCUGGCCCAUUUCUGACGCUCAGACGCGAAAGCUAGGGUAGCAAACGGGAUUAGAGACCCCGGUAGUCCUAGCCGUAAACGAUGUGAACUUGGCGUUGGCGGGUUUAAAUCCGUCAGUGCCGUAGCUAACGCGAUAAGUUCACCGCCUGGGGACUACGGCCGCAAGGUUAAAACUCAAAGGAAUUGACGGGGGCCCGCGCAAGCAGCGGAGCGUGUGGUUUAAUUCGAUGUUACACGAAGAACCUUACCAGGGUUUGACAUGUAGGUGGUAGUGAAGCGAAAGCGGAACGACUCUUCGGAGAGCCUGCACAGGUGCUGCAUGGCUGUCGUCAGCUCGUGUCGUGAGAUGUUCGGUUAAGUCCGCUAACGAGCGCAACCCCUGCCGUGUGUUACAAGUGUCACACGGGACUGCCGGUCUUAAGCCGGAGGAAGGUGGGGAUGACGUCAAGUCAGCAUGGCCUUUAUAUCCUGGGCUACACACACGCUACAAUGGGUGGUACAACAGGUUGCGAAACCGCGAGGUGGAGCCAAUCCUCAAAGCCAUCCUCAGUUCAGAUUGUAGGCUGCAACUCGCCUGCAUGAAGCUGGAGUUGCUAGUAACCGCGCGUCAGCAUUAGUGCGGUGAAUACGUUCCCGGGCCUU
rnacentral:rRNA from 1 species